GACGUAGGGCGCGAGCGUUGUCCGGAAUUAUUGGGCGUAAAGAGCUCGUAGGCGGCUUGUUGCGUCGACUGUGAAAGCCCGUGGCUUAACCGCGUGGUCUGCAGUCGAUACGGGCAGGCUAGAGUUCGGUAGGGGAGACUGGAAUUCCUGGUGUAGCGGUGAAAUGCGCAGAUAUCAGGAGGAACACCGGUGGCGAAGGCGGGUCUCUGGGCCGAUACUGACGCUGAGGGGCGAAAGCGUGGGGAGCAAACAGG
rnacentral:rRNA from 1 species